rnacentral:rRNA from 1 species
UUGAACGCUGGCGGCAGGCCUAACACAUGCAAGUCGAACGGUAACAGGAAGCAGCUUGCUUCUUUGCUGACGAGUGGCGGACGGGUGAGUAAUGUCUGGGAAACUGCCUGAUGGAGGGGGAUAACUACUGGAAACGGUAGCUAAUACCGCAUAACGUCGCAAGACCAAAGAGGGGGACCUUCGGGCCUCUUGCCAUCGGAUGUGCCCAGAUGGGAUUAGCUAGUAGGUGGGGUAACGGCUCACCUAGGCGACGAUCCCUAGCUGGUCUGAGAGGAUGACCAGCCACACUGGAACUGAGACACGGUCCAGACUCCUACGGGAGGCAGCAGUGGGGAAUAUUGCACAAUGGGCGCAAGCCUGAUGCAGCCAUGCCGCGUGUAUGAAGAAGGCCUUCGGGUUGUAAAGUACUUUCAGCGGGGAGGAAGGGAGUAAAGUUAAUACCUUUGCUCAUUGACGUUACCCGCAGAAGAAGCACCGGCUAACUCCGUGCCAGCAGCCGCGGUAAUACGGAGGGUGCAAGCGUUAAUCGGAAUUACUGGGCGUAAAGCGCACGCAGGCGGUUUGUUAAGUCAGAUGUGAAAUCCCCGGGCUCAACCUGGGAACUGCAUCUGAUACUGGCAAGCUUGAGUCUCGUAGAGGGGGGUAGAAUUCCAGGUGUAGCGGUGAAAUGCGUAGAGAUCUGGAGGAAUACCGGUGGCGAAGGCGGCCCCCUGGACGA